CCUACGGGGUGCUGCAGUGGGGAAUAUUGGACAAUGGGCGAAAGCCUGAUCCAGCCAUGCCGCGUGUGUGAAGAAGGCCUUCGGGUUGUAAAGCACUUUCAGUGGGGAAGAAAGCCUUGGGGCUAAUACCCUCGAGGAAGGACAUCACCCACAGAAGAAGCACCGGCUAACUCCGUGCCAGCAGCCGCGGUAAUACGGAGGGUGCGAGCGUUAAUCGGAAUUACUGGGCGUAAAGCGCGCGUAGGCGGUCUGAUAAGCCGGUUGUGAAAGCCCCGGGCUCAACCUGGGAACGGCAUCCGGAACUGGCAGGCUAGAGUGCAGGAGAGGAAGGUAGAAUUCCCGGUGUAGCAGUGAAAUGCGUAGAGAUCGGGAGGAAUACCAGUGGCGAAGGCGGCCUUCUGGACUGACACUGACGCUGAGGUGCGAAAGUGUGGGUAGCAAACAGGAUUAGAUACCCUUGUAGUC
rnacentral:rRNA from 1 species